rnacentral:rRNA from 1 species
CAGUCAUGCUAGUGAAAAAUCAGUUUGACGGGUUUUGAGUUCGGGAGUAGAGGCAGGGUCAAACCGUUUCUCUUUUGGACUUGGGAUUUGUUAGAUGCACUUCCUCACUCGGCAGGUUAGCAUCAAUUUCGGUUAUCAUAAAAAAUUUAAGGGAAUGUGGCUUUUCUCGGAAAAGUGUUAUAGACCUUGAUCUAUGUGGUGACCGGAUUGAGG